GAUGAACGCUGGCGGCGUGCCUAAUACAUGCAAGUCGAACGAAACUUCUUUAUCACCGAGUGCUUGCACUCACCGAUAAAGAGUUGAGUGGCGAACGGGUGAGUAACACGUGGGCAACCUGCCCAAAAGAGGGGGAUAACACUUGGAAACAGGUGCUAAUACCGCAUAACCAUAGUUACCGCAUGGUAACUAUGUAAAAGGUGGCUAUACUACCGCUUUUGGAUGGGCCCGCGGCGCAUUAGCUAGUUGGCAGGGUAAAGGCUUACCAAGGCAAUGAUGCGUAGCCGAAUUGAGAGGUUGAUCGGCCACAUUGGGACUGAGACACGGCCCAAACUCCUACGGGAGGCAGCAGUAGGGAAUCUUCCACAAUGGGCGAAAGCCUGAUGGAGCAACGCCGCGUGGGUGAAGAAGGUCUUCGGAUCGUAAAACCCUGUUGUUAGAGAAGAAAGUGCGUGAGAGUAACUGUUCACGUUUCGACGGUAUCUAACCAGAAAGCCACGGCUAACUACGUG
rnacentral:rRNA from 1 species